rnacentral:lncRNA from 10 species
CGCCACCUCCCCGUCGGGAACGAUGACCCUCUAGGGGGCAUGGAACUCGCGGGGGGGGAGUGGCCUCGCCCUUGAGGACGAAAGGCUCCUUCAAAAGGCGGGCGAGGGGCCGGGGGCGGUGGCUCACACCUGUCAUCCCAGCACUUGCGGAGGCCGAGCGCUCGCCUGUAGUCCCAGGGAGGCUGAGGUGAGAGGAUCGCUUGAGCCCAGGAGGUAGAGGCUGCCGUGUGAGCUGUGAUCGCGCCACUGCACUCCAGUCUGGGAGAUGAAGCGAGACCCUGCCUCAAUAAACCAGAAACCAAAAAACAACAAAAAACAGUGAACAGGACAAGCAAAAUAUCCUGCCUUCAUGCAGCAUAAAUUCCAACAGGUGACUGGAACUGAUUUGACAUAACCAUCGUAUGCAUGGAGAAGCUGAGAACAGUAAUCUGCAGAAGCAAAAGUAUGAAACAGCCGGGCAAAGAUGCACAGACACCUGUUCAUCCCUAGCUCCUGUACAGUGCUGGGGUGCUCAGUAAGUGUUUGCUGAAUGAACAGAUGAGAUUGGACAGAACGGGGAAGGAGAAGGGAGACAUCAAGUUUUGUUUUAUAAACAGUGUGCAUCCGCCUAUAAUCUCAGCUACUUGGGAGGCUGAGGCAGGAGAGUCGCUUGAACCUGGGAGGCGGAAGUUUGCAGUGACUGAGAUGGCGCCACUGCGGUGAGGACACUGAAACUCAGAGAGGUUAAGCCAUUUUCCCAAGGACACACAGCAAAAUGGUGUUAGAGCUAGGAAUUGAAUCCAGGUCUUUCUAACUAUUCUCUGCUGAAAUACAUCAGCCCUUGUGGCUUCUGAGAUUUAACAUUGUGACUUUGUGUAUUGAAGCGAAGCAUCAAUACAAGGGACCACCAAAUCUGUAUGUCAUGGGGUCAAAGCAUCGUAGAACCACAGAUGUGAAAGAACUGCGGAGAGGACGUUCUCCAGGAGGGACAUCAUUAACUCAACCCGGGCGAGAGACUAGGCUUUGACCAGGCUUUCCAACCCACGCAGCUUCAGCUUCCAUCAAGCCCAUCCUAACCACAACGAACACAAGGCAAGGCAAACAAGCAAAACAUAAUAAAGAUC